CUGGACUGCUGAGAACAGACCUGGGGGGAGAAGGAAGCCGGGUGCUGAGAAUACCAGGGGCCAGUCUCACAUGGCCUUGGUCCAAUGUUUUGGUGAAAUAUUGGAGUUUGACCCACACAGGAGGAAGAAAUCAGAUGGAACACACUCUGGUUCACCUCCUCAUUCCCUCCUUCCUCCCACCGAGGGAGGCAUGGACACAGCAUCCACCUUUUAAGCCCAGGCUCACAGGAACUCUUCCUGUCUGUAGAUCACGCUGCCUACAACCAUGACCUGAGCUGCACUCGGCCUUUCUCUGUGAGGCUUGUUCCUUGUCUUCCUGCUCGGCAGCCAUAGCCAGAAAAGCCUAUCUGUCAGACCGCUCCCCACUGUCAAGAGCAACCUCAAGGUGCCUGCAGGUCCUGUUACAUUCUUCCCUGGAUAGCUACUAAGUUCCCAAGCCCACGUGUCUGUCUAACCCCAAGAAGCCAGGGCUGGAUUCUGGCUAAAUAUAAGAUCCUUUCUGCAAAAUGGAAUAUUGGGGCUUCAGGGAAGGUGUGGGCAGGGAAUGAGCAGGACACAGCUGGGUGGAUGUGGAACUUCUGGCAGGUUUUCCAAACAGUGUUUUUUUCCCAAAAGAAGAGGCUGCAGUUUACCUGGGAGUACAGGUGGAGCAACAAAGCUUCCAUCUGAACACAAAAUAAAGCAGCUUGAGAUAGCCAGGGUCGGGGGAUGGCUAGGGGCUCUGGGCAUGUUGUCCCAAAGCAGAGGUUUUGAGAUGGGGGUCUAUGGAUCAUCUUUCUCAAGGCCCUGGGGAAUUGUGGCAGCUCCUGAGGAUGGAUAUGACUGCCCCCCCCAAAUGACCAGAAAUGACCAGAUCUGUCCCCACACACAAAUGACCAGAGAUCCUUAUGAAGCAGAGGUGGACACAAACCUCUCUGUCAAGUACCCGAGUGUCAGGUGGCAUGACGUCAAGCUUUGGCCUUGGGGACCGUUUGGAUUUAAGACAGGGGCUUGGUUAGGUCUCAGUGAAGGCGUGGUAGGGAGGGGGUGGUGCAGGGCGGACAGAACAAGGCAAGGAGGAAGGGAGGGCCUUGUGGUACUGAGCAGCGGGCACUCUGUGCCUCAGUUUCUGUAAAACGCGGGCAAGAGUGGCACCUCCGGGUGUUUGGAUUUUUCUUUUGUAAAGAUGGAGUCUCACAUAGCCCAGGCUACCCUCAGACUUGCUGUGUAGCAGAGGAUGGACUUGAACUUCCAAACCUCUUUGCCUCCACCCCCAGAGUGCUGGGAUGACAGGCAUGAUCCGCCAUGCUCACUUAUGCUGUGCUGGGGAUGGAACCCAGAGCUUCAUGCACAUAGGCAAGCCAUCUACCAACCGGGCUGCCUCCCCAGUCCUUGGAACCUUCCGGUGAAGGUAACGAACGAGUCCACAUAAAAUCAAAAUAGUGGCAGCCCAGCCCAGCUCUCAUUGACUCCUCCAGGCAUUUAAUGGUAUGAUUAUGAUUAUUAUCAUUUAAUCUACUUUCACUCUUUGGGCAUAGGCAAGAUGACCCCAUUUUGCAGAUGGAAAGAAUAAGGCUCGCAGCAGCUUUAACGGCUUGCCCAGUGGUCACUCAGUGGGUGACAUGUGUGUGUGUGUGCCCUGGCUUUAAACUGUGUAAAACCUCUUGUCCCUCCUACUCCCUGAUGUGAGGCUGGAGAGAGAGGAGUGUGUGGUUGGUUUCAGCAGGGGCCAGAGCCACACAGCCUCGGGCCAAGCAUUAGGCAAAGCCAGGAACCCACGGCGGAUCCGUCAAUACCACUGUGAAUCUACCGACAUGGCGGCAGCGUCCACAAACGGAAGCCCCCGCCCCUUCUGAUGUCCUCCACUGGGCUUCGAGCCCCAGAUGUUCCAUAUUGACCCCUUACGGGAAGAGCGGAGCUGGGAGUUGAGAGCCAAAACGGCCCCAGAGGAUACGGGAUGGGGUGAUUGCUUUCUAGACCCACUCCAAAUAUAACCUCAGUAGAAGACA